rnacentral:rRNA from 1 species
AACGUAGGUCACAAGCGUUGUCCGGAAUUACUGGGUGUAAAGGGAGUGCAGGCGGGAAGACAAGUUGGAAGUGAAAUCUAUGGGCUCAACCCAUAAACUGCUUUCAAAACUGUUUUUCUUGAGUAGUGCAGAGGUAGGCGGAAUUCCCGGUGUAGCGGUGGAAUGCGUAGAUAUCGGGAGGAACACCAGUGGCGAAGGCGGCCUACUGGGCACCAACUGACGCUGAGGCUCGAAAGUGUGGGUAGCAAACAGG